rnacentral:lncRNA from 1 species
UUUAGAACAAGAUUCUUAAUGUCACAUUAUGAGAUGUAUGCAUUUUUAACUCUUUUUAUGCAUUGACAUUCACACAAAUGUACACUAAAAUUUUAAUUUAGUCUAGCCUCAUUGAAAAUUUUAGGUCUACCUUUAUUUUUAAAUUAUCUUAUUUAGUUAAGCAUCUGAAUUCGAAUCCUAAAUUAAACAUUUGAUUUAGAGUCUCUUAACUUUUUUUUAAACAAUAAACAAAUAAAUAAUGGACCUAUCAUGCCCAUGUUAUACAUUUGUGGACUUGUGUCAUCGUGAUUUUGCAAAAGACCCAUUUACCCUUUGAAAUGGAAUAUUUAAUUUUAACAGACUAACUAACAAGGACUAUUCGUUUCCAAAAACAAAAAACAAAAGAAAAAGAACUACUUUGAUAAUUUUAUACAAACAAAAGAGAGCGUUUUUAGUUAUUUAUGUAUCCGUUUGCUCUCUACUUAUUCACAGAUAUUUACAAAUCUAACUGAAAAUUAAAGAUAUAUGUUUUUCAAGCUGAAAAUUCAAGAAGUUUAACUGUCAUAUGCUUUUCAUCAAGAGUUUUAUUAUUUGAAUAGCAGUAAAACAGUAAGAAGAUAGAAAUAUAAUUAUUAUUCAUGCGAUACUAUAUAAGAAUUACUCAUGUUAUAAUAACACGAUAACAUGUAAAAUUAUAAUAUUUUUUGUACUAUAAUACCAUUAUAUUUCUAUCUUUUUGUCGUCCCACUGCUGUUUAAAUAACAUUUUCUCCUUUAAAAAAAAAAACAUUUUCCUCUAUUUUUUUUUUUAAAAAAAACAUUUUCCUCUCUAAAGGCCUUGUGACAAAUAACAGUGAGGGGGUAUCACUAUCACAUCAAGGUCAUUUCAAGUGUGAAACAGACUGAUCAAUCUUUAGAUGGAAUGAAGGGAAUGUGAUCUGUGGAGGUGUUAGUGACUCUCCAAUCAUGUCUAUUGAUUCAAUGGUGGAUAGUGUGUCAGUCCGGUUCAGAUCUUUUCAAUUUUUAGAAUUUUUAAAAAAUAAUUAAUUAAGGUAACAAUUAUGAGUAGAACGCGUUGCCACAGAGUCUAGUGCUCUAGCUAUCAUAUGUACACGUANNNNNNNNNNNNNNNNNNNNNNNNNNNNNNNNNNNNNNNNNNNNNNNNNNNNNNNNNNNNNNNNNNNNNNNNNNNNNNNNNNNNNNNNNNNNNNNNNNNNCAAGAGAUGCUUUGUCAUGUUUCAAAUAUACCCUUCCCAUCCACACACACACAAGUCAAAGAAUUUCUCCCUUCAAGAUUGGUGUGAGGGGGAAACCGAUGACUUAAAUUUCGACUAUCCUUCUGAGAUAAAAUUAUUUAUUUGAGUUUGCCAAUUUUUUUUUUCUUAUAUGCUCUUCGUUUUAACACUAUUUUCAUGUCAGCAAAGUUUGAGGGACAAUGCCAAAUAAUAAAUGCACAUAAUGACUUUAAUCUCCCUCGAUUAAAGUAUCCUGAAUCCAAUCGUCUAAAAGCAACAAGAUGCCAUCAUUUUUUUUUUGUUUUUGGUAACGCCUUAUUCCAUUAAUUUUUCCUAGGCAGUUUACUAAAGUAUAUUUGUUGUACCAAUUAUCUUUCAUGUUUGUACUUUGCAGUGAAAAAAAUUGGAUUAAUUUGCAUCAUAAGAGAUCAAAAAUAUGGAACCAAUUAAGACAAACCGACCAAGAUUUACCCAGUAGAUUUGCUUAAAAGUAAACUAAAAGAUCAAAGUAAAAGCCCUAGCUUGUUUGUCAUAUGUGUAACUUUUCUUUUCACUCUAAUUAAAAAUCAAUUAAUUGCUGCCUCCUUAAUUGUGCUAUCGAGGUGAGAAUAUUCUCCUUAAAUAUGAGCUUUCGUUACACUUUGUCUGAUUACAAUUUGAUUUUGAACAGUAGAUUGUCAUAUACGCGCCUGUCCUUUAUCAAUUUUCAAAAAAUUAUUAACCUAUUCUCAAAAAAAAAAAAUUAUUAACCUACUUUCAAAUAUAACCAUAAAAAUUAUAGCAACAGUUAGGAGUGUGCAUUUCAAAAUAUUAAGGCUUAAAUGAAUAUAUGAAUGUUUGUUAGUUUCUUUUAUAUUGCUUCCGGUCUAUUUUGUUCCUAUAAGCUUAGACAAGUGAAUUUCAAAUAUUUUUGAAAUAAUUUUGAGAGAAAAAUAAGUUAAAAUUGAUCGAGCUUUUGCCCACUCCCUCUACCUUUAAGGGAUUAAAAAAAAGGAUAACCAAAAAAAAAUGAAAAAGAAAAUUUGCACCAAACAAAAGUGCAAGGCCUAACCCUAGCUUAUAAGGCUUUGUAAUUAUGAUUGAUGACAUUAUUUAAGGUUGUUUUGAUGCUAAGUUAUCACCUACUCUGCUCAAAUCGGUCAAUAAUCUCACAAAUCUAGAAAGCUUAAUGAACUUGCUCAUAUUUUGAAUUCUCCAUUUAGUUCUAAUUAAUUGAUCUUUAGUUUAUCACCAAAAAAAAAAAAAAAGGUUGAUUGAUCUACAGAUUUGUAUUCGUUGCUAAUACGAUAUUUGCAAUAUUAUAUGUACAUUCCUUUAUUUUUUUUACAAAGGGAGAACAUGUUAUGCAUUCCGUUUAUUGAUUGAUACAUAUCUCAAGGAGUUUUUGAAAUAAAUGAUGCAUAUUAUAAGCCAAUUUGUUUUUUCUAAUAACUUUAUUGUCAUCUAAAAUUUUCUUACUUACAUAUUGUCUGUUUUUGUUCCAAACUUUUUAAUCUUCCACGUAACUUCGUUACGAUGAGGUUUUGAAUUUAAAUUUUAACACGAGUUUACGAAAUAUCAAAUAUUUUAAGAUUAGGGAUAUCUUUAUCACAAAAAUUUAUAAUUUAUUUUUCUUAAUCCAUAUUUAAAAGUUGCUUUCUCUGUAGAUUUCUGCCCGUUGGGAGUUGAGUAAUAUGAUUGUUUUUAUGAUUCCAAUUAACUCUGUUUGUAUUGGUUCCUUUGUUCACCAAUUUGGCGUCUCACUUUGAUUAAAAUAAAAUUUAUUUCAGUGUUUCAUUUUCUAAUCCGUUCAUAUGUCGAAAUAGUCACCUAACGAUUGAAAACAAAUGAUUGGAAAUUAAACAACAAUGAAAUCAAUUAAUCUCUCCUUCCUUUUUUAUGGUUUUUUUUAAAUAUAUAAUAUUAUUCAGGGGUAUUUUAAGGUUUGGGGCCUACCAUAAAGAGCAAAAAAAAAUCAUGCCAUUAAAGUCUUUUAGUUAUUAUUACUUAUGUUUGCCAUUACAAGUUACCAUGUCCAUAUUUUUCUAACAAGGCAAUUAUAUUUGAUAUUAUAAGGUUUGAAAUUGGUGCAUACAUCCAAAAUCAUAUUAUUUUGUGACAAUGAGUAGUUGUUAAAUUUUUUGUAUCUUCUGAAGAAUUUUAAUCUAGUUGUUCUCUUCAUUACAAAAAAAAAAUUAUGUUUGACUUUUUGUUAAAGGGGUUGACUUUGUAGCUUGCUAAGACUUGUUC